AUAAAAGUAGACACAUUCAUCAUUUGACAACAUCCUUGCUGGCAUAGAGAAAGCGACUUCUAAAUUCAAUUUGGAAACAGUGUAUGGACAGUAUUUGAACAUAAACAGAACGUGGUGGAAGUGAUGGUGUUGGACUUUAGAGACCAGGCUUCUCUUACAGCACCUGCUCUAAAAGAAGUCAGCUGUCACAGGAGAACACUCAAGCUGCCCCAUGAAGAGGCCCAUAGUGAGGACUGAGGCCCCCUCCUAUCAGCCACACAUGGAAGCAGGUCCUCCAGCUCCAGCCAAGCCUUCAAAUGAUUUUAGCUUCAGCUAUCUUGACUUCAAUCUCAGAGACCCUGAUUCAGAACUACCCAGCUAAGUCACUUUCAAGUUCCUGACCUGCAGAAACUAUGAGAUGAUAAAUGUCUGUAAGCUCCAUGAAGGCAGAAUCUUACUACCUUAUUCAUCACCUCCAACAUCCAGCAAAGCAUCCGGCCUACAAUAGGUAAAGCUCAAUAAAUACUCGUGGGAUUCAUGAAUAGUAUGUCAAGGUUAUCAAAAACAAGCAAAGUGUGAAAAACUGCAGUCAAGAGAAUCCUAAGGAGCCAUGACAAUCAAAUGAAAUGUGGUAUCCUGGAUGGGAUCCUGGAACAGAGAAAGGACAUCAGGUAAAAACUAAGGAAAUCUAAAUAAACCUAGGAUUUAAUUAAUAAUAAUGUACCAAUAUUGGUUCAUUAAUCAUAACAAAUGUUCCAUUCUAAUGUGAGAUGUUAAUAAUAGGGGAAACUGUGUGCAGCGUAGGGGGAUAUAUAACUCUCUCUAUCAUCUGCUCAAUUUUUCUACAAAUCUACAAAACUACAAUAAAAAAUAAAGUCUAUUAAAAUACAAAACAAAUCUCCUAGUCAACGAAAGACUCUUGUGUGUUACCAACACUAUCAGAGCCCAAAGACAUUCACUGAAAUUCAAGGUUGGGUUAAAAUUAAUUCUGAAAUUUCUGAAAUUAAUUUUGCUACUUGAAUUUUAAUUAUUUAAAUCAUCUCAAUUGAAGAAAAUAACCAGAGAUUGGGCCACACAGUCACAGACACUCUAGGAAAAGGUUGAUAUAAAGAAGCCAGAUCUAUUUAAUCAAAGGGUUUUCAUGAGCAUUGAAGUAUAAAGUAAAGAAAAGGUUUUGAUCAGAGCUGAUCAAGCCAGAAGUGGAAUUUGCUGUAAUUUCCCUAACUUCCCCCGGGAAGAUGGGCUAUUGUCAAUUGUUGAAAGCUUCCGGAGGGGAUGAGGGGACAUUGCUGUUUUGACCACUUUAAAAAAAAAAUCAAUACAAUGCUCCUUGUUUUUAUUCCGUGGAAUGACUGGGUAGUUACACAGGGGGGAAGAUGAAGCCCUGGAGAGCUGACAUUAAUUAUCUGUGCUAAAGGAAAUGAAAAGUGGGGGUGAGGAGAGUGAUACUGAUAGAGGAGAAUCCAGGUGAUUCAAAUGUGCCAGUAAUACCCAUAUUUCCUUUUAGCCAAUUGUUACCACUUGCUUUCUACCAACUUUUUCUCAGAAUAAAUGGCAAAAAUUAAUAACUUGAUGGUUAAUUUCUACCCUUCGCCAAAGUUCUAAUGGCAAUAUAAUGGGCCAAUAGGUUAACCAGAAAAGGGAAGGGAAAUGAAUUUAAGUACUUGCAAGUAUAGGUUCUCAA